AUGAGCAAGUCGUCGUGGCCGGAGCUGGUGGGCGUCAUGGCGACGCCGGCGGCAACGCAGAUCGCGCUCGUCAGGCCUGACGUCGCCGUCGAGGUGCUCCCGCCGGGUGCGCCGCUGACGCCCGACUACAACCCCGAGCUCGCCGCGUCUUCAUCGACACCAACGGCAUCGUCUCCCAGACCCACCGUCGGCUAG
rnacentral:rRNA from 1 species